UACGGAGGGUGCAAACGUUGCUCGGAAUCAUUGGGCGUAAAGCGCACGUAGGCGGUCCGACAAGUCGGGUGUGAAAGCCCUGGGCUUAACCCAGGAAGUGCAUUCGAAACUGUCGGACUUGAAUACUGGAGAGGGUCGCGGAAUUCCCGGUGUAGAGGUGAAAUUCGUAGAUAUCGGGAGGAACACCAGUGGCGAAGGCGGCGACCUGGACAGAUAUUGACGCUGAGGUGCGAAAGCGUGGGGAGCAAACAGG
rnacentral:rRNA from 1 species